rnacentral:tRNA from 1 species
CUAGUUCAUAACCUCACGCAUAAAUCCUUUCUCUGACUUAAGCAUCGAAGGAGUGACGAAGACACACCUCGACGCCUUAGUUUCAAGUAUUGGAAGAUCUUGCUCGUGGUCAAGCUCAGUCAUCAAACUCAAGAAAUAACAGGUGCGAUUUUUGGUAACAUCAACCAUGAAUCUAUUUUAUUUGGUCUUUAUUGCUAUAGGGUUCAAUACAUUCAAUCGACUUCACCAUACAUGACAUGCAUCAUCAUUUGGCAUAUGUCAAAUUUUGAUUCUUGAGUGCUUUAUUUUUGUGGAUGGCUUGUCUAAAUUUUAGUUAAACAGCCUAUUGUUUUUUGCUUCAAAUUCUUAGUCCGCUUUCACUCCUAACUACUUGUAAUCCAAGCGAUUAACCAAUUUAUUUUCCAAGGCAAAUAAAGAUUCUUAAAAAAGACGUAGUUCUAUAUAUUUUUCUUUUUUGCUUUUUCAAUUUUGCUCCAUCAAGGAUAGAAUACCAAUUAUGGUGAUAAUACAAUUGGAGGAAGUUAUGAUUUAUAAUAGAAACGUAAAAGCCGAUCCAAGAAAGGUAAAUAAAAAAAUAAAAAAUAAAAACGACUCCGCUGGGGAUCGAACCCAGAAUCUCUGGUUCCGUAGACCAGCGCCUUAUCCAUUGGGCCACGGAGUCAACUCCUCCCAUUCGAGCUAGUAAUCUUUUAAUCUGUAGUUAAAAGCUCCACCACAAUCUUUUGGACAGCCUUACAAAAAUCUAGUUGAUUAUAUACUAAAUGAACUCAACUCGUACAAACAUUAUUUCUUAUUUUUUUCUUUUGAUAAUAAUUUCUUUUGGCUUAAGAGUUCGUACAUGCAAUUUAGCUUUUCUUUGUCAAUCAUUCUACCACAUUAUUUUUCCUACAGUAUUUAUUUUCAACCACAUAUUCUUCAUUAAAAUAAUAUUAUACAUAAAUCAAAAAAAUUUUUUCCUUUUUAACCAUACAUUUCAAUAUUAAUCACUUCUAUAAUACAAUUUUUUGAAAAUUAGGCCCUUACUAAUGGCUGAAACCAACCUGAGUUUUUGUUUCCUACAUCGAUGGAUUAUGCUCUUCAUUUGUUAAAAGGUCUAACGAAAUUAUUAUUUUUAACUAUCAAACACUUUUUGUGACAAUUCUAACCUACGACGUCUGUCAUCUUUGAUGUCGAAUUCAAUAAUUGCUAUAAUCAUAUUAUGACACAUGUGCUUUAACAAAAAAAUUCCAUGAAUCUUACAAUAUGAGUAGUUCGAUAGAUAUCUUGUGCUAGCACAAAAUUCAUGUAGUACUUCUCCAUUUUGCUACCGGUUUUUGUUUUAUGCAUUAUUUUCUCUUCAACUCCUUUUUUAUUUGGUUAAUGCGAAUCUUUAUGCAGAUUCAAGAGUUUUCAGCAGAGUUCAAUUUCCAACUUGAAGGAAAAAAUUGCAUACUUUGCAAGUUCCAUUUGGUAUUUCCCAAUGGAAAUGCAUAAAACCUAAGAUAUCAAUGAAAAACGAACAAGAAAAAGUGAAAAACUAUGCAAGAUUCUUUAAACCAGAACUAUUUUACCAUGAAUAGUUUUUUCAGAAAAAUACUCAAGAAUGAAAAGAAAAACAGAGGAGAUAGAGGAAAUCAGAAACACACCUUCAUUGAAUAACAGACUUGGCUAUUAAACAGCCUUACAAAUAAAACUGAAAUAAACAUAAACAUAGCCCACAUUUUACAACUCUUAUAACGCGGCAGGAAGACUAAAUCAACAAUUAACAAAUACCAAAAUAAGGGGACAUUACAGAUUUGGUGGUAACUAACCACUUGACCACUAAAGUAAGCAUAAAACUAACAUUUCCUUCCUUAAAUCGAAGGCUAUGAGCUUCAGUUUACAUCAUUCUCAGAACAAAUUCCCAAUUGUUCUCGCAGCUUGGCAAAGGUGUUCGGCUUGAGUGGCUUAGUCAUUAUAUCAGCCAAUUGAUCUUGUGUAGCACAGUGCAGAACUCCACAAUACCAUCCUUUGUAAGAUCUUGAAGAAAAUGAAAACGAACAUCUAUGUGGUUGCUUCAACCAUGCAUUACAGGAUUUCUCGAAAGCUUGAUUGUAGAACUGUUAUCACAUUGAAUUACACAUGAUUUGCUUUUGAUUUUGAUCUAGUUUUCCCGAAACUUUUUUUAGCUAUACUG